rnacentral:piRNA from 1 species
UCUAAGGUCUGAAGGCCAGAACAUUGGUGGU